GACGAACGCUGGCGGCGUGCUUAACACAUGCAAGUCGAACGGAAAGGCCCUGCUUUUGUGGGGUGCUCGAGUGGCGAACGGGUGAGUAACACGUGAGUAACCUGCCCUUGACUUUGGGAUAACUUCAGGAAACUGGGGCUAAUACCGGAUAGGAGCUCCUGCUGCAUGGUGGGGGUUGGAAAGUUUCGGCGGUUGGGGAUGGACUCGCGGCUUAUCAGCUUGUUGGUGGGGUAGUGGCUUACCAAGGCUUUGACGGGUAGCCGGCCUGAGAGGGUGACCGGCCACAUUGGGACGGACAUACGGCACAGACUCCUCGGGGAGGCAGCAGUGGGGAAUAGUGCACAAUGGACGGAAGCCUGCUGGAGCAACGCCGCGUGCGGGAUAACGGCCUUCGGGUUGUAAACCGCUUGCGCAUGUGACGAAGCGUGAGUGACGGUAAUGGGUAAAGAAGCACCGGCUAACUACGUG
rnacentral:rRNA from 1 species